UACAGAGGGUGCGAGCGUUGUUCGGAAUUAUUGGGCGUAAAGGGUGCGUAGGCGGUUUGGUAAGUCUUAUGUGAAAUCUAUGGGCUCAACUCAUAGACUGCAUGAGAAACUGCCGGGCUUGAGUAUGGGAGAGGUGAGUGGAAUUCCUGGUGUAGCGGUAAAAUGCGUAGAUAUCAGGAGGAACACCUGUGGCGAAAGCGGCUCACUGGACCAUAACUGACGCUGAUGCACGAAAGCUAGGGGAGCAAACAGG
rnacentral:rRNA from 1 species